CCCUUAGACGUUCUGGGCCGCACGCGCGCUACACUGACCAGUGCAACAAGCAUCCGUCCUUGGCCGACAGGCUCGGGCAAUCUUUGAACGCUGGUCGUGAUGGGGAUAGACUUUUGCAAUUUUUGGUCUUCAACGAGGAAUUCCUAGUAAACGCAAGUCAUCAGCUUGCAUUGAUUACGUCCCUGCCCUUUGUACACACCGCCCGUCGCACCUACCGAUUGAAUGGUCCGGUGAAAUCUCCGGACUGGCGUGAGUCGGAGCAAUCUGACAAACGCCGGAAAGUUGAUUAAACCUUACCAUUUAGAGGAAGGUGAAGUCGUAACA
rnacentral:rRNA from 1 species